UAUUCUGGUCUCUCUUUGCCUUGUGGCAUAGUGUAAAGUUAUGAGUCUAAGUACCUCAAGGCUGGACUGAUGUGGUCCAUGUUUUAGGUCUUAGUGAGAACUGGAGCAGGAGAGUUUGAAAUAUGCUCAUGAUGUUUUGAUUGAUUUUCCUCUCCGUUUUAUCAGGACAUCCAAGAGCAAGACAUUUCCUGGGAUGUUGCUGCAGACUUUGGAGAACGUGUAAAUGGUGCAAUAGUGGUCGCUGAGUCUCCAUGUCCAUUUACUGAAGAUCAGCUGGCUGAAGUGCAGCUAUUUAUCACAAAAAAGGUGUGUUUGAGAUGACUUGUGUCUCGCCUGGAGCGUCGACGAGACCAGACAGAGGCGGGAAAAGCUAAAAGAGAUAAAGGCAGACAGCGGGAGUGAACGAGAACAGGAGAGAUCUGAGAAGUCCCUGUAGGCCUUCAGUCUGUGAACCGGCUGGAGACGCCGGAUACAGUGAGCGGAGAACAGAAGAAGAGGAAUCUUUGACAGUCAACGAAAAUCCGAUGGACAACAGUGUGAUACAUCCAUAAACUAAAAUAUUGUUCGC